UACGGAGGAUGCGAGCGUUAUCCGGAUUUAUUGGGUUUAAAGGGUGCGUAGGCGGUCCGGAAAGUCAGCGGUAAAAGCCCGGGGCUCAACCCCGGCGAGCCGUUGAAACUGUCGGACUAGAGACGGCGAGAAGUACGCGGAAUGCGCGGUGUAGCGGUGAAAUGCAUAGAUAUCGCGCAGAACUCCGAUUGCGAAGGCAGCGUACCGGCGCCGGACUGACGCUGAGGCACGAAAGCGUGGGUAUCGAACAGG
rnacentral:rRNA from 1 species